rnacentral:rRNA from 1 species
CCUACGGGGGGCAGCAGUGAGGAAUAUUGGUCAAUGGACGAGAGUCUGAACCAGCCAAGUAGCGUGAAGGAUGACUGCCCUAUGGGUUGUAAACUUCUUUUAUAUGGGAAUAAAAUGUUCCACGUGUGGGAUUUUGUAUGUACCAUAUGAAUAAGGAUCGGCUAACUCCGUGCCAGCAGCCGCGGUAAUACGGAGGAUCCGAGCGUUAUCCGGAUUUAUUGGGUUUAAAGGGAGCGUAGGUGGAUUGUUAAGUCAGUUGUGAAAGUUCGCGGCUCAACCGUAAAAUUGCAGUUGAAACUGGCAGUCUUGAGUACAGUAGAGGUGGGCGGAAUUCGUGGUGUAGCGGUGAAAUGCUUAGAUAUCACGAAGAACUCCGAUUGCGAAGGCAGUUCACUGGACUGCAACUGACACUGAGGCUCGAAAGUGUGGGUAUCAAACAGGAUUAGAUACCCUUGUAGUC